GAUGAAGAACGUAGCGAAAUGCGAUAAGCAAUGUGAAUUGCAGAAUUCAGUGAAUCAUCGAAUCUUUGAACGCACAUUGCGCCCGGUAGUAUUCUGCCGGGCAUGCCUGUUCGAGCGUCAUUUCAACCAUCAAGCCCCAGCGCUUGUGUUGGGGGCCUGCGGCUGCCGCAGCCCCCCAAAAGCAGUGGCGGGCUCGCUAUCACACCGAGUGCAGUAGUUCAUCUUCUCUCCGGUCUUGUGAGGCGGGUUCCGGCCGUGAAACACCCCACUACAUUCAAGGUUGACCUCGGAUCAGGUAGGAAUACCCGCUGAACUUAAGCAUAUCAAUAAGCGGAGGA
rnacentral:misc_RNA from 1 species